UCUACCUCUCCUUAAGAGCCUUGACGAUCAGGUCGACGUAACGCACACGGGAACUCCAUCGGCUCGCCGUUCGGGGACAUCACCGUUGACGCUCCGGAGCUAGAGGAUCUGGAGGUGAACUGCAUCACUGGCUGCACCGCCGAGUACAAGUCGUUCACGCUGUGGGCGCCGAUGCUGAGCUACCUGUACUGGCACAACCAAUUCGCAUAGAGCGUGGCCAUCGACGUUGGUAGCCCGGGCAGCGUCACCGCGGGGAAGAUCCAGUUCGAGUGGAAGCACGAGAGUAGCUGCCGCGAGCUGAAGAGCUACAAGGCACAGAUGAUGCGGAUGCUGGAGGGCCUCAUCCCGGAGCUGUCGCCGAAGCGUGUCGCCGACGCUGCCAGGCCUCACAUGACGCUCGACAAGUACACCAUGGAGGGCAUUGACUUUGUGGAGGACGGCAAGAUGAUCCCCGAGGAGAGGCUCGCCUGCGACCUCGAUGCCAUCAUGUCGCUGCUAAAGGACUGAACGCCAUUGGCGUGUCAGUUGCUUCUAACAAAGAUGCAGGGCAAGUGGAAUUCUGAACUUUGGACCGCCGCACCGAUUGUGCAUGAGUUUGACUGGAAUAGCAAGUUCAUUUCUUCUUUUUCUUAGAAAGAGACCUGAUUUUGCCUGAUGAUCUCAAGAUAUUUGAUGUUUCCUGCACCAUGUUAUCUUGCCAAUGAAUUCUACUGUCGUUCUUGUUCUAGAAAUGAAAUGCCCAAUAGUUCUUGACCA